UACGUAGGGGGCAAGCGUUGUCCGGAUUUAUUGGGCGUAAAGGGCGCGUAGGCGGCCCUCCUAGUCGCGUGUGAAAGCCCCGGGCUCAACCUGGGAACGGCGCGCGAAACGGGGGGGCUGGAGUUCGGGAGAGGAGCGUGGAAUUCCCAGUGUAGCGGUGAAAUGCGCAGAUAUCAGGAGGAACACCGAUGGCGAAGGCAGGUCUCUGGGCAUUAACUGACGCUGAGGAGCGAAAGCAUGGGGAGCGAACAGG
rnacentral:rRNA from 1 species